rnacentral:rRNA from 1 species
AUGUCAGAACAUUUGAGGAGCUCAAGCAAUCUUUUUACGCUAAUGUUGAUUGUACAGAACUUGGGAUCUGCCAUGGCAGAUGUUGUUAUAGAUGCAAUGAUUGCAGAGGCAGUUCGAUCAGCAGGGCCAAAAUUUGCUGGUGAUCUCCAGUCAUCAAUGGCUGCAGGGGGGAUAUUUGGGAGCUUAUUGGGAGGAUACGCAUUGUCCAAUCUCCCAAUAAAUGCCAUUGAUAUUAUUUUCUCUGCUCUUCCACUGUUCCAACUAGUUACAUGUGUUUUCAUUAAGGAAUCUCCAAAAGGAUUUGAAAGUACGACAGAUAACGCCGCACAUGAUCAUGCUGAUGGUCAGAAUAUUGAUAGUGCUUUUGCUGGACAAGGCUCAGGUGAAUCUUUUAAAUAUGAGGGCACUAGGAAGCGAAAGGGUGCUCGUAAAAAGAGCAAAAGGAGAUCAUUAUCCAAACGAUCUGAAGCUCAUGAGAAGCACAAUAAAUCAGUUAAUUUAUACUCAUCUCUGAAAUCAGCCUGA